GUGACCCUCCAGGAAUAUCAAGUGACCCAGCAAGGAGUAAUUGGGGAAGUUCCAUGUCUUGUGACCUCCAGAAUAAUGGCAGACCUGACACCUAAUGAAUGUGUGAAUAGAAAACACCUAGAUGCUCAGAAGAAUGGGUAGUGAAAUAUUCGUAUUCAUAUACCAAUCAGAGAGUUUUGGCUGAUCACAGGCUGCCAACUGUUCAAACCACAUUCAAAUAAGGGCUGUGACCGUCUACGACAAGCUGGCAUCUUUCUUUAAAGAGGCACCUCUGGACCUGCAGCACCGGCUCCUCAUGAAGCUCAGAACCUGAGGACCCAGCCAUGGAGCGGUCAGCCUUCAUGGAGCAGGAUGCUGGGAGCGGGCUGGUGAUGCGUCUCCAUGAGCGGCCAGCCCUGCUGGUCAGCAGCACACCUGGACAGUCCUGGAUGCCCCCACCCCGCCACGGUCUCAAUGAGAAGGGGAGGGUGUGUGAGCUGGAAGAGUGCUGUCUAGAAACAGGCCCCUGACAUUCAAUUCUCUUCUCAUAGAGGACGAAGACUUCUCUAUC
rnacentral:lncRNA from 10 species